AACUCCGGAGAGGAUAGCAUUGAGAUGCCCUCCCGAGAAUGUUACAGUCAAGCUAAUCUACCCGCACAUGUGGUGUUGAGACACAACGAACAAUGAGCUUC